GCUGCGGACCCUGCGCCGCUUUCCCCUUUUGUCUCUUACAUUACAAACGAGGGGGUUCGGUGGGCGCACACGGGCGGGCGGGAGGGUGCUGGGCUCCCGCUGUUGACCGCGCUGUUCGUGCCGUCCCGGGGUGCAGCCCCCGGCUUCAGCCGCGGGUGAACCCCAAAGGAAAGUCAGCGGUUGUUUUUUUCCUCCUCUAAGCCCAUCACAGCCCGUUAAAGCCCUUUUGCUUCAAGCCCUUGUGCUUCAAGCUUCCCGUGAUGUAAAGCGUGAAAUAACCAUUGCUGAUAAUGUCAUCGCUUUAAGCAAUCUGGCUAUAUAGAUUUUCACCCUCCAUAUGCUCAGAUAAUUUUUAAGAAGUCCUGCUAUGUCUCAGCGACGCCUUUGAAGCUGCUGUUCCUGAUAUUUAUUACUAGUUCUGUUCCUGAGCCUUUUCAAGGGGAAUGGGAGAGUGGUGUAUCCCCAUCACAAGGGCUGUAUUGCUCAGCGCACCACGGAGCCCUCGCACAGCACAGCAGCACCGGCCUGAAUCCUUAAUCACAUCCCUGCUUAGAUUUCGGGGCCCAUAUGUGGCUUUCUAAAGAAGGUUACGUCUCAGGAGGCUCAAGUAAUUAUGGUCAUCUGCCGCUUCAGUCUGAUUUACUUAAUCAUACCAUGUGUUUUCCUUCUCUUUGGGAUUCUCUCCACAGAAGCUGGGAAACUCAGGAAUGCAGAAGCCCUCUGUAUGGCCAUGUGAUUGCUGCUGCUGCUGCUGCUGCUGCUUCACGUGAUCCGGCUUUCCGGCACAAAGCUGCGGGCUCGUACAGAUGAUUGUUAAACGUCAUGAGACUCUGAAAGAAGAUCAGCAAUGAAACACUCCUCUUGGCUGGGCUGGAGUGCAAUACGGUCAACCCUUUCCCCCAGGGAAGAAGAAAGGAUGAAAGUCCCAUGCGGGGAGCGGUGGCCUGUGCCAGGACAUCUCCAGCCCAUGCACCAGUGAAUCUCUUGAAGAAAAACUUGAAAGCCUGGAAGCUGAAGAUCUCAUGUCUCAUCUGUCACGACCAGAAGCCUACCUGCAUGAGGAGAAAAGACCAAUCCAGGACGAAAGCCAGCAUGCUGCAGGCACAGUGAGCUCACCAGUGUGCUGCGGACCAGAGCUACGGAAUCUCCAUCCCGGUCCUUUUCUAGUGUGAAGCUUCAGUGUGACAUGCAAAGUGCUAACAGGAUCACAGAUCAUAUUUAAUAAGCAAAAUAAAAGACAGGGUCAUUUGGUUGUUCUUGCAGAAACAACAGGAUGGUACUGGGACCUGAACUCUGACUCUCUGCUAUUUCUGCUGUUCUGGAUGCUGAUGCCACUAUUUCACAACAGCUGAGCUGGAUCCAGAUGGAAAAGUGAGUUAUCUUUUCUCUAAAAAAGAAACAUUAACAAAACCCCUGACACUUUUAUACAGUUAAGAAGUUGCUUCUGUCAUUUCUUGACAUGAUAGAUUGUAGACUAUUAACAUAGUCUAAUUGCUUAUGGAAAUACCAAAUUGUUUCUUGUUAAAGUAACGGAUUCUCAUCAAUCUCCAUUCAUUUUAAAUACAUUAUUUUCAGCACUUUCAUGUAAAGAAUGUGCAAAGAAAAGGUCUUAUUUUCUUGAAGCUGUAGAGAUGGCAUGUUGGAAAUUUCAAAAUGGAAUGAUAUCUAGAGUUGGCAUUAGCUAUGACUGCCUGGGAAAAGUAUUUUAAUACACGGGAAUGUAUAUAACUUCUGUGAACAUUGUUGUCUUCCUAUGGCAAAAGCAAAUCUUUGAAGUCUGGUCUAUUCUAAAAGGCUUCUUUAGGACCUGUCAGACAUCUGCUCCUAUCAUGCCAUGUAGGACAAUCUGGGAUAAGAAAAUAAUGUGACAGUGAUUAAAGGUAGAAGUAAAUGUAGUAGCAGCAGGAAAUUCCUAUUAGCUGAUGUCUAUCCCGGCUCUCCAGCUACUUAAUGUCAACUUUUGUUGUCAGUUUUUUAAUAUUUGUUUAUGUUUUCAAGAAGACUUAUUGAACCAGUCAAAGCAUGGUUGCCAUAAAGAAAGAGCAGAAAACUGAAUUGCUGGGAGCAAUCCAGUCAAAACUUUUACAUUUGGGACAUUCUGUCUAACUGAGAGGACUGUAAUGACUUCAUAAUAAUAAUAAUAAUAGUAAUGAAUAAUAUGAGGAGGGGUCAUCUGAGCAUUCUUGAUCUAAGAAAUGUGGUGACAACUGCUUUAGAAGAAGGUUACAGAAAACAAGAAAAAAGAAGGAAACCAUGGGUUGCCUUCACUUCAGAUAACCUGUGACUUAAGUGACUGAUUCCUUAUCUGAGCUUUUCCUUUCUGGGAGCUCCUGAUGCUCAAGAGGGGGUGUGCCACAAGGCAUCAGGUGAUGGCAGUGUUGACUUCAGAGCACUGGAGGAGGUUGGCCAAUGCCCAAGAAUCAGAAGCCUCUGAAGCAUGCUGCAUGCUGAUAACGAUGCAGUGGAGAAAUUUUCCUAUCUUACAUCCAUAGGCAGGAGAACACAAUAGGUACAUUGCUCACGUAAGAUGUUAUACCAUGUUUGCAGCUUUCCCUGAGCUCGAUGUUGGAGCUGAAGCUUUUGAGGGGAUUAAAGGGAACCAUUUGCAUGGAGUGAAAUCUCUAGUUAUUCCAACAUCAAUGAAUACCAGGGAGCCACUUUGAUGGAGUCAAGCAUGAUGAGCAAAAUCUGAUUUCAAUAAAAACCAAAGCACUUCUCAGUGCAAGUGAAGGAGGCAACACUGUUUCUUUGCAUCAUGCUCAUUCUCCAAGGGUGCCUGGGUCAUGUUGUGUUUACAGAGACAUCUUCCCUUACCUAUCAGAGCUGCAGCAACUGCGUAUUUCUUUUCAGAAAUGCAACCAAGAUCACGAGAGAGCAGGAACCCAUUCUGGGAGGGUGAACCAGAAAGCUGAAAUUACAGCAGUUGGAUCUUGGCCAGAAACACCAGAGUGAAAAACCAAACUCUCCUAAAGGGCUGCUGAGACCUUACGUGGUGGUCACGGGCAGGAUGUUUAUUUUCCAUCUCCUCCAAUGGACGGCACAUCCAGCUGUAGUUUCCAAUCUUAAAGCCGUUCUGGGACUUUUGUUCGGGACUGACUCAGAGGAAAGGGUGCCACUCAGUGAAUCACUGUGUGAUUUCCCACAGUUUGGGGUUUUUCCUUAGAGACCUUACAGAUCUGGAGCCAUCCUGCCCGACAGCCCGGAGCCGCUGGGACGGCGGCACAAAGAGCACAGCCGCGGGCAGGGCGCCCUGCAAGCGCUUGUUGCCCGGGGCCUGCUCCAGCAAAUGCAUACACAUACGCUUAACUCUACACUUCUGAGGCAUAAUCCCAUUAAUUUAAAUGGGAUUACUUGUGGGCUUAAAUUCCUGCAGGAUCAGCACUGAGGUCUGUUGCUGCAGCUG